AAUCAAGUUCUGAUCCAGAGUACCACGAGACACGUGAAACCUUGUGGGAAGCAGGGAGGACCACCUCCCAAGGCUAAAUACUACCUGAUGACCGAUAGUGAAGCAGUACCGUGAGGGAAAGGUGAAAAGAACCCCGGGAGGGGAGUGAAAUAGAACCUGAAACCGUGUGCCUACAACCGGUCAAAGCCCCUUAUGAGGGUGAUGACGUGCUUUUUGUAGAACGAGCCAACGAGUUACGGUAUGUAGCAAGGUUAAGUACUUAAGGUACGGAGCCGAAGGGAAACCGAGUCUUAAUAGGGCGACUAGUUGCAUGCCGUAGACCCGAAACCGGGUGACCUAUCCAUGGCCAGGUUGAAGCGGGGGUAAAACCCCGUGGAGGACCGAACCACGUUGCUGUUGAAAAAGCAUGGGAUGAGCUGUGGAUAGCGGAGAAAUUCCAAUCGAACUCGGAGAUAGCUGGUUCUCCUCGAAAUAGCUUUAGGGCUAGCGUCGGAUAUGAGUAAUGGAGGUAGAGCACUGAAUGGGCUAGGGGGCAUAUCGCUUACCGAACCUUAUCAAACUCCGAAUGCCAUAUACUAUUAGUCCGGCAGUCAGACUGCGAAUGAUAAGGUCCGUAGUCAAAAGGGAAAAAGCCCAGAUCGUCAGCUAAGGUCCCAAAGUGUAAGUUAAGUGGUAAAGGAUGUGGGAUUUCUAAGACAACUAGGAUGUUGGCUUAGAAGCAGCCACUCAUUUAAAGAGUGCGUAAUAGCUCACUAGUCGAGAGAUCCUGCGCCGAAAAUGUCCGGGGCUCAAACUUACCACCGAAGCUACGGG
rnacentral:rRNA from 1 species